GCCAAUGUGGCACAGUUGUUUGAGUAUUGGACUAUGACUCUGGAGACCAAGGUUCGAUUCCCAGCUAGGCCA
rnacentral:tRNA from 1 species